AGCGGCGGACGGGUGAGUAAUGCCUAGGAAUCUGCCUGGUAGUGGGGGAUAACGUUCGGAAACGGACGCUAAUACCGCAUACGUCCUACGGGAGAAAGUGGGGGAUCUUCGGGCCUUGCGCUAUCAGAUGAGCCUAGGUCGGAUUAGCUAGUUGGUGAGGUAAUGGCUCACCAAGGCGACGAUCCGUAACUGGUCUGAGAGGAUGAUCAGUCACACUGGAACUGAGACACGGUCCAGACUCCUACGGGAGGCAGCAGUGGGGAAUAUUGGACAAUGGGCGCAAGCCUGAUCCAGCCAUGCCGCGUGUGUGAAGAAGGUCUUCGGAUUGUAAAGCACUUUAAGUUGGGAGGAAGGGUUGUAGCCUAAUACGUUGCUACUUUGACGUUACCGACAGAAUAAGCACCGGCUAACUCUGUGCCAGCAGCCGCGGUAAUACAGAGGGUGCAAGCGUUAAUCGGAAUUACUGGGCGUAAAGCGCGCGUAGGUGGUUUGAUAAGUUGGAUGUGAAAUCCCCGGGCUCAACCUGGGAACUGCAUCCAAAACUGCAUGGCUUAGAGUACGGUAGAGGGUGGUGGAAUUUCCUGUGUAGCGGUGAAAUGCGUAGAUAUAGGAAGGAACACCAGUGGCGAAGGCGACUACCUGGACUGAUACUGACACUGAGGUGCGAAAGCGUGGGGAGCAAACAGGAUUAGAUACCCUGGUAGUCCACGCCGUAAACGAUGUCAACUAG
rnacentral:rRNA from 1 species